rnacentral:rRNA from 1 species
UACGGAGGGAGCUAGCGUUGUUCGGAAUUACUGGGCGUAAAGCGCACGUAGGCGGCUUUGUAAGUUAGAGGUGAAAGCCCGGAGCUCAACUCCGGAACUGCCUUUUAGACUGCAUCGCUUGAAUCCAGGAGAGGUGAGUGGAAUUCCGAGUGUAGAGGUGAAAUUCGUAGACAUUCGGAAGAACACCAGUGGCGAAGGCGGCUCACUGGACUGGUAUUGACGCUGAGGUGCGAAAGCGUGGGGAGCAAACAGG